rnacentral:rRNA from 1 species
UUUAAAGUCUAAUCUGCCCUAUGAAGGAUUAAAUGGCCGCGGUAUUUUGACCGUGCAAAGGUAGCAUAAUAAUUAGUUUUUUAAUUGAAAGCUGGAAUGAAUGAUUGGACGAGAAAAUUACUGUCUCAAUUUAAUUUUAUUAGAAUUUUAUUUUUAAGUAAAAAAGCUUAAAUGUUAUUAAAAGACGAGAAGACCCUAUAGAGUUUUAUAAGUAAUUAUUUAUAAAUUUUUAAGAAUUAUUUUAUUAAUAUUUAAUUACUUAUUUUGUUGGGGCGAUAGAAAAAUAUUAUAAACUUUUUUUUAAAAUAAAUAAACAUUAAUUUAUGAUUUAUUGAUCCAUUAUGUAUGAUUAAAAGAUUAAGUUACCUUAGGGAUAACAGCGUAAUUUUUUUCUAGAGUUCUUAUCGAAAGAAAAGAUUGCGACCUCGAUGUUGGAUUAAAAUUUAUGUUUGGUGUAGAAGCUAGACAAUUAGGUCU